rnacentral:rRNA from 1 species
UGAUCCUGGCUCAGGAUGAACGCUAGCGACAGGCUUAACACAUGCAAGUCGAGGGGCAGCGGUGGUGAAGGCUUGCCUUUACCAGCCGGCGACCGGCGCACGGGUGAGUAACACGUAUGCAACCUGCCUGCCACAGCCGGAUAAUCGGGAGAAAUUCCGUCUAAUACGGCAUAAUGCAUCGACGGGACAUCCUGUUGGUGCCAAAGGUUGAUUCCGGUGGCGGAUGGGCAUGCGUCGCAUUAGUUAGUUGGCGGUGUAACGGACCACCAAGACGACGAUGCGUAGGGGUUCUGAGAGGAAGGUCCCCCACACUGGUACUGAGACACGGACCAGACUCCUACGGGAGGCAGCAGUGAGGAAUAUUGGUCAAUGGGCGGGAGCCUGAACCAGCCAAGUCGCGUGAGGGAUGACGGCCCUAUGGGUUGUAAACCUCUUUUGCCGGGGAGCAAAGUGCCGCACGUGUGCGGUUUGGAGAGUACCCGGAGAAAAAGCAUCGGCUAACUCCGUGCCAGCAGCCGCGGUAAUACGGAGGAUGCGAGCGUUNUUCCGGAUUUAUUUGGGUUUUAAAGGGUGCGUAGGCGGACGCUUAAGUCAGCGGUAAAAAUUGCGGGGNUUCAACCUCGUCGAGCCCGUUGAAACUGGGUGCCUUUGAGUGGGCGAAGAAGUACGCGGAAAUGCGUGGUGUAGCGGUGAAAUGCAUAGAUAUCACGCAGAACUCCGAUUGCGAAGGCAGCGUACCGGGCGCCCAACUGACGCUGAAGCACGAAGGCGUGGGUAUCGAAACAGGAUUAGAUACCCUGGUAGUCCACGCAGUAAACGAUGAAUGCUAGUUGUCCGGGGCGAUUGAGUUCUGGGUAACACAGCNAAAGCGUUUAAGCAUUCCACCUUGGGGANGUACNCCGGCAACCGGUGAAANCUCAAAAGGAAUUUGACGGGGGGGCCCGCNNCAAGCCGGANGNAACAUGUUGGGUUUNAAUUUCNAUNNAUACNCCGANGAACCUUACCCGGGCUCAAACGCAGGAGGGAUGUUUUUGAAAGGAGGCAGCCAGCAAUGGUCUCCUGCGAGGUGCUGCAUGGUUGUCGUCAGCUCGUGCCGUGAGGUGUCGGCUUAAGUGCCAUAACGAGCGCAACCCCUACCUACAGUUGCCAUCGCGUGAUGGCGGGCACUCUGUGGGGACUGCCUGCGCAAGCAGUGAGGAAGGCGGGGAUGACGUCAAAUCAGCACGGCCCUUACGUCCGGGGCGACACACGUGUUACAAUGGCAGGUACAGCGGGAAGCCACCCGGCGACGGGGCGCGGAACCCGAAAACCUGUCUCAGUUCGGAUUGGAGUCUGCAACCCGACUCCAUGAAGCUGGAUUCGCUAGUAAUCGCGCAUCAGCCACGGCGCGGUGAAUACGUUCCCGGGCCUUGUACACACCGCCCGUCAAGCCAUGGAAGCCGGGGGUGCCUGAAGUGCGUGACCGCAAGGAGCUCCAUAGGGUAAAACCGGUGACUGGGGCUAAGUCGUAANCAAGGUAAC